rnacentral:lncRNA from 1 species
CAAGCUGUUAAAAAAUACGUAGAUGAGUAAAAAAAGAGUAAUGAUAAAAAAAAAAAAACGGGUUAAAAAUGAUAAAUGGGUAAAUGGGUAUUAACGGUUACGUUAAAUGGAUAUACGGAUAUGAUUAAUCAUUUAUAAACGAUUAUGGAUAUAAGUAUAACCGUUUAGGCAACAUACAGAAUCAACACAAUUCAGGCAUAAAUCUGCAUAUAAUCAGAUUGUAUAGAUAAGAAACUAAAAGAGGAGAUCGAUGUAUAGAUAGAAAGUAAAAGAGGAGAUCGAAAGAUCUGAAAUUCCCCGAAAGAAAUCAACACAAUACAGGCAUAAACAUGCCUAUUAUCAGACUGUAUAUAUAAGAAAGUAAAAAAGGAGAUGGAAAGAUUUGAAAUUCCCCCAAAGAAAUCAACUUUGGGAAGUUGGGAUCUUUGUAUCAAUUUCAAUGAAAAGUUUUAAACUUUAUCAAAAUAGAAGUCGAGAUUUAGAUAAUUACCCACAGAAAUUGAGCGAGCGGAGGUUCGAUUCCAAGUUACCGAGGUUUCUCCUUGCCGUUUGGGUCGAGAGAAAGUGACGAGAAGAGAGAGAGAGGCUUUUUCUUGUUUUAGUUUUAAGCCUUUGGGUUUGGGGUUGUGAUUUUUUAUUGGAAUGUGAUAUACAUAUUCUAUUUUAUUUUUCACACAUUUUUUUAAUUUUUGGCUAUCGGAUUAGAUGAAUUAAAGAAAAUCAACGGAAAGAAAUUAUGUGAGAAGUAAAAUAAGGUAUGUGGAUAUCAUAUCUUUUUUAUUUUCUAGGACUGGCUAACAAGAAUGAACGGUGUAUGAUAUGCCACGUGUUCCUUUGACAUAGCCCGUUGGUUGAAGACUUGAAGUUGAACGAACUCCCUGAUUUGGCAGAGUAGUUUAAUUAGGUUCGGUGCAGUAAACUGUAAAUUCUAAAUCCCUUCCCAUAAAAAAAUAAAAGAAAAUUUCAACUGCUCCUCCAAUUCCGAAACCUUAACUCCAGUAAGUCUCCCUCAACUGAUCACUUGACUUGUUUGUAAUUAUAUUUGCACCACAAGCACAAACAAAUUGAUUAAUUUCUGAUAAUUAUAUAAAAUUGAUGAGGAAGCGAUUUUUGAUAAUUAUAUUUGCUCCAACUGUUGUGAUAAAUAAUAUUAUAUAAUAUUUGCACUCCAAUUGUUCUUGGACUGUAAAUAGAUGGAUGGAUAGAUUCUUUUGGUUUUGGUUUUGGUUUUAAUUUUGGUUCUGGUUUUGGUUUGCUUUGGUUUCACAAAAGCAAUCAACUUUUACGGGCUUGUGUCAAAUAUUAUGUAAUUUCGAUUCUCGGUCGCAGACCAACCGAUUUAACCCAAGACGCAAAUGCAGUUGCAGAUGUGCAGUGUGUAGGGGUGGAGAGCAUGGCGGCAAUGGCUUUCCGCUUUCCCUCUGUGGCUUUAAAGCUUGGGAGUUGGAGUAAUAGUACUACGUUUCACCUUCAUAGGAUUACAAGAGAGAGAGAGGCACUACCAAGCACAGCUCCAACAGUAUUAUCCAACAACAUUAACCAGCUCCAGCCACGUCCGGCCUCUUAUCUAGACCAUGAAAGCAUACUUCCUAGAAGAUUUACAUGUCCCAUCUCUGACGUUGGUAGAUGUGCUCGUCAUUACGAGAAACAUGCUCUUUUCGCUGUCAAAGAGUUCAACAAGCAAAAGGUAAUAACUAAUUAUAACUACUCACUAAUGUGUUUUGUGUAUGUGUGUGCACGCCCGCGCGCGCGACAGAGGGAUGUGUUUGCUAGUAUACACUCUACUCCAAUCCAAUUUCUGUGUUUCUCUCUUUUAGGAUGCCCAACUGCAGUUUGUGAGGUGGGUAAGGGAAAGUCAGCAGCUUUUUUGCGGCUGUAUGAACUAUUUUAUAACAUUAGAGGCCGCUGAUGCUGGUACGGUGAAGCUUUAUCAAGCAAUCGUUGCGCAGACAAUCUCAAAGGAGCUCAGAUUGUUUGGUCUUGUUCUUGAUGGUGGAAGACUUUUAAAACUGAUUGAUAACAGGCGUACAAGCCCAAAGAUCAAUCGCACAAGAGAUCCAAUUGAUACCAGAGGUAGCUAGUUAUUUACAGGGCAUGAUAGUUUGAUUAUUUGCAUUACAGUUUGUUAAUUUCCACUGACGAUGUGGGAAACCAAUGUUAAUUAGUUGUAAGAAUAUUAAAAUAUUCAUUUGCAUGAUAUACACAUCUUUGCUGAAUCAUAUUUACCAUCUUUUCUUUUCGCUUCUUUUUCAAAUUUUACCAUCGCUUUUAUAGAACAUCUCUUUAUCUUGUUCGGAUUUUGUAUUUUGCAUUCAGCAGUGCUAAUACUGAGCUACCUUCAAAUGCACUCAUCGGUGUCUUCUCAAAUGUUUCAGAGCUUUACUACCCCGAGGUAAAAGUUCCAGUGAAGACAAGCAGAUGUUCCCUUGAGGAUGAGAUGUUAAAAACCUUGCACGAAUUGCCCCUCCAAAAAUAUUUAAGUUUUGGAAUUUGACAUUUUGUUACUUUCGUAUUAUAUUCUUGAAAACAAUCAAAGUAAAAUAUUGUUUGGAUGCAUUUUAGGCCAAUGUUAUACUUGCGUUUUGGUUUGGCUCUUGGAUUUUGCAUAUUCUACUAGUAUGAUGCAUGUGAAGCUAACACAAGUACAAAAAUGUUUGUGAAAGUUAGCGGAUGUGGCCUAUUUAGCGCACAUCCAUCAGGCCAACCCCUUAGGACAACAGUUGAUACGGAGGAAACAGAGUUCGGAUAUGAAGACGAAUCUGGUUUACCCCAACAUUGCUUUGAGAGUGCCAUAGAAAUACUUGUACCUUUUGAACAUGAUACCCUUGAGUUUUAAGGAUUACAAAUUAGGAGUUGUUUUAUUAGUGUUGUGCAGGUCUGUAGAAGGAGAUGGUGUAGACUGCCGUUAUUGUCUGCAUGGCUUCUAGUUGUUUUAAUGAAAUUGGGAGAGAAAUGCUAACAUGUAUGUACGCUCUGCGUGUCUCCCGAUUCCACCCACUGGUGCCAAUGCCAUCAUCAUCGCCAGACCUCCGUCUUCCGGGCAUCUCUCUCUUUCACAUUAAGCUUUUAUGCAUGAAUUUAUGUUUGGCGUGUUUCAAUUUCUGGUACCUCAGCUGUGAGUUUACCCUACGUGUACAUGCAACUAGGUUAAUUCCUGAUAUCUGUAAGUCCUCCAUUUAUAAAGUUCUUUUAGCUAAUUACUUAACCAAAGCUCCUCGUAGAUUUUAUUUAUAAUUUUUGUCCGCUUUGAUUAGUAUCGGUGUAUAGGGAUACCCCAGUCUAUGUUAUUUAUGAAAUGGUAGUCUUUUAGGCUGCUUCUAAUCAAAUUUUGCACCUUGGUUUCGGGGGAAUAGAAAGAUGUUUCCGAGCAGAGCGGUAGUGUUGUUUUGUGAAGAACAAUCACAAGGCAUUAUACAAUCUGAGGGGACAGGGGAGCAACACUAACACGAUCUGAUCUUUAGUACUUAGUAGGGUGAUAAUUGGUGGCAUUGUUACACGUCUAACGCUGUGUGGUCUCUAAAUGACUGAUUUGAAAUGAAAUAAGCAUUAUAGCCAGUCUAAUAAUUUCAUCCCCGCACCCGCAAGAGCCAGCAUCUUAGUAUGCUCAACCAAGAGUAUGCCCUUACUGGCUUGCAGCUCAUCUUACUUCAGCUUUUGCUCCAUACCGUGACCUUUUCGGGACUGGUCUUUCUGUUGUCAUGCCUGAACCACCCUCUGAAAUUGAAAUCUUGGGUUUGUGGGGCGUCAGAAGUGUGGACUUGCUCUUUCUGUAAGCUAACUUGUUGCGAUUACUGCUGUCUUUUGUUGCUCUUGUGUUGACAAGGAAUGAUUCUGUAUGUAAUUUUUGUGCUGUAUUACUUUUUUCCUUGCCCAUAGUGAUUUUCAUUGUGCUACCGACGGCCGUAAAUCACUCUCCUAUUUAAAGACAUCGCCUAUACAACACUUGAAUCGAGUAUCAAGUUUAAUCAUGGAUUGAUGAUUGUUUACGCAAGGGUUAAACUUUAGUGAAUGUGAGCAUUUCAUUAUUUACGAUUAGUUACAUUUAUCAUUUAAGAUGAGGAAUGAGUUGAAAUUCGACCUUGGGAGCGAAAAAAGGUGGACGUCGUCUAUGUAACCAAGUUGGCUUGAGUGGGGCGAUCGUCCUUCUACACCCAAGUUUGAAGCUCCCUCUUAAUCGUUUAGAAUUUAGAGUGGGGGAAUAAUCCAUCAAGUAAGAACAAUAAAAGGCUUAAUGAAGAAAGAAUGACGAUUUGAAAUAACUAGAACUACAAACAAUAUCAGAAACACACAUCCAGUGACUCUGCAGUGGCCCUCCGAAAGAUCUCUAGGACAUCAAACUUGUUUUUCAGUUACACAAUACUAGACUUCGAACGAUCUCUUAGUAUCUAGCUCUACUUUGACUUGACAUUGCAGAUCAAGCAUCCUCACUCACAUACGCCUUAGCAAAAACGCGUACUAUGGAACAAUCAAUGUCUGUUCAUAUUAUAACUAGAUAUUGGUUAUCGCCUAGAUGCUAAUAACAUCAGUGUCUAAGAAAAAAUAAACAAAACGAAGUCUUAGAGAUGAUAAUUCAAAUAGAUCAUUGAACUAAAGCCAUGAGGACGAUCUCCAUGCUACUUUGCUCCUUGCAGUGGACACACACACACGCAUCUUCACCUCGUUCGUCUCUGUGACAGUUGACAUGUACAGUAGUCUACCGACAGCAAACACCGUGCCACGAGGGUUCAAUAAUGGAAAUCUUGUGACCGAUGAAAUCACUUGUGCACAUUAGACCAGAACUUUACGCAUUAAAAAUGUAAACGAGAAUUGUUACCAUAUAGAAGAAGAAGAAGAUGCAAACCUGAACAAAGAUACACGAAGAGAUCCGGACCUCUGGAGUUUGAAGCAUCAUUCAUCAAAAAAGUUGUCUGUUUCAAACAAAUAAUUGAUGAUCAAUACUAAUAAUACAGAAUCAGGCGUAACAUACCAGCCCUCGCCCUAAACGCGUAAUAUGACAAUGAUCAAAGCACCACAUGGUGUAAAUCAAAUAAGUGUGUAUAGUUACCUAAGUGAUGAUAUAGUCUUAAAGAAUAAUGUUCAUCCAUGACGCAAAACACUUCCAACCACAUUAUGUCAUCAACGGAAUCUACCGCAACUUGUGCUUGGUAAAAUUCAGCCUCAUCGGCAUCAACUGCCUCCAACACCAGUUCAUAAUAACGUUGAUAAUAAUAUCCCGGGGAACGCCACAACUCUUUCCUCAUGUGCCUGCAGGUUGCCUUCAACACUCUCGAAAUCUGCAGUUGGGCAUUCUAGAAGAGUGCCAAACCAUAAGAUGUAAACAUUAAUGCAUAAGUUUGCAAAACCAUUAAUAAAGUCUUUAAAUCUCAAGCUACAAAAAUAAUGCCCAUUAUAUUAUUACGUGUGAAAUUCUAAUCAAAGCUACACUAACGCCCUACGUAUAAAGGCGGUAAAUUUUAAUACACAUACAUGAGAUUCAGAUAUUGAUGAUAUGAGUUUAUGGAUACCUUAAGCCUGUUGAACUCUUGUGUUGCGAAGCGGGCAGGCCCUAAUCCUCCUAAAUCCAUAUGAUAAUCAAAUUCCUGGUAUUCAAAUUCAUUAUGAGAGAGAGAGAGAGAGAGAGAGAGUUGUGCAAAUUCUUGUUGCAAUUUAAUAUGAGCAUUGGUUUUACCUGUUUCUUAGUAUUUGUGGGUGUGGGUGUGGAAACGCUUCUUCCAUGGCUUCCAAUAAGUCUUCCAUAAUUCUGAAUGUAUUUACUACUGCUCCCCAGCACACGUCUCUGAGCCAUGGAUAUAUAUCUCUACUACACAGAGAAAAGUUAGGCUAAAAGGGUCUGAUGAAUUCGCGCAAUAACCAAACAGAUAACUUCACUAAUAUGUUUCUUCAUAGUAUCUUGACGAUAACUAAAUGCCCUUCCCCCAACAAUUGAUCUUUCAUUUACAAAGUAAGGAUCGCAAGAAGUAAAAGAUGAAUCUUGAACCAAUCCAACUUGUAAAUCAGAUUUUCAACUUCCCCAGAUGCCCAAAUCACACCAUAUUCUAUCUGUAUCACCAAAAGUUUUAGCCUUUCUAUUCAUCCCCAACCACCAAACUAAAAAGUUAGGACCUUGCUGUAAAAUGCAGAUAUUCCAAUCCAUUUCGGGUCUAAUUUUUCAAAAACCAUAAAAAAAAAAACACAAAAAGGUCGUACCAGUACCCAGUGCACAAGGCUCCCGCUUUACGCAGGGUCUGGGAGAGGUGAAUGUCGGCUAACCUUACCCCCAUUUAUGGAGAGGCUGCUCCCAAAUCUCGAACCGAGACCUACCGCUCAUGGGCGAAGGCACUUGCCAUCGCACCAAGUGCGACCUCUAUCCAAAAAAAAACACAGAAACAAAUAAAUAUGAGUGGUUCUCAGAGCUCCAGAUCCAACCCUUUUACGACUCGAUAUUAAAUUUGGGUCUGGAUUCCUGGGUUUGUAGCCGCGGGAGAUUGAACCAUAUGGGAAAGCUUAGAUUUUGAAGUAUUAGGCUUCCAUUUCAAUGAAAAGAAAAAAGAAUUGUAAACUCUUUUGGAGAGCUUUUAACACACAGAAUUAACACAAUUCAGGCAUAAAUCUGCAUAUAAUCAGAUUGUAUAGAUAAGAAAGUAAAAGAGGAGAUCGAAAGAUCUGAAAUUCCCCGAAAGAAAUCAACACAAUUCAGGCAUAAAUAUGCCUAUUAUCAGACAGUAUAUAUAAGAAAGUAAAAAAG